CAACGUUCCAGGUGUCCCCUUUCAUUAAGAGUUGGGGACAGUCCUUGGGGUUGUUGGGGUGCCCCUACAACGUUCCAGGUGUCCCCUUCCAUUAAGUGUUGGGGACAGUCCAUGGGGUGUUGGGGUGCCCCUACAAUGUUCCAGUUGUCCCCUUCCAUUAAGUGUUGGGGACAGUCCAUGGGGUGACCCUAUAGCAUUCCAGGUGUCCCCUUCCAUUAGCUGUUGGGGGACAGUCCUUGAGAUUUUGGGGUGAAUCUACAGCAUUCCAGG
rnacentral:lncRNA from 1 species